AGGGGAGACCUAGGGUCCCACCUGCACGUCUGCAUCAGCGCCUGGAUGCUCUGGAAGAAGCCCACUUCCUUCUUGUCCUUCAGCCCCUCCUCCCAAGACCCUGCCUGUCCCGUUACCUGCUGUACUUCCGCGUUCCCUCCGUUGAGGAUGGAGAUGCCCAGCUUCAGGGUCGAAGACACCAUGGCACCCGUCUCUCCUGGAGGUCGCAGAGACAGAGCCAAAGAAACAGAUCACCCACCCACCAAAAAAACAAAAACAACAACAAAAACCUACUAUAGGACGUGCCUACCCUCCUACCUCAAAGGACACCUCGGCUUCCUCUUCUUCACCUCCUCCUUCUCCAUUUUCCCCGCCCUCCUCCUCCAGGUGGCAGCUCUGGGGAGCAGCAUCAGUUGGUGAGUGAGGAAAACAAAACAAAACAAAACAAAACGAUGCCCCGUCCACCCCCAGGAGCCCCUUCAGUCUGUGGGAUGCUGCGGCCGGGAGACACGGGUGGAGCAGAGGCGGGAGCUCACCUUUGCCAUGAUGUCGGCGUAAGCCAUGUACAGCUCUGGGUGUUGGAAGCCCUCCAACAGGAGACUCCUGUGCCGUGUUCAGCAACAGUAUAAAGUAGCAGCCUGUGCUCACAGAGUGACACUAAAGGGUCCCACGACUGGGGGCCAGUAAGACGGCUCAGAGGGUAAAGGACCUUGCUGCCAAGGAAAGAUGAGUUUGACUCCUGGGACCCACACGUGGUGGAUGGAAAAAACAGAUUCCUGCAAGUUUUUCUUUGACGUCCAGUGGCUAUGCACACACAAUAAAGAAAUCAGUAUAACUUAAAAUUUUAAA